UCAAGAGACGUACCAGGUUAACAGAUUUGAUGGCUGUAGUCCUGUAUCCACAGAACAUCUUUGGAAGCAACAGUGACAGCUUCCCCACACUACCCUGUCAACAGACCUCAACUUUAAAAUGGAGGGACCACCUGUAUAAUGGAGAAAAGUAGAUUUUUAGCCAGUUCACUUACUACAUAUUGCCUCCUCCAAGCACUAUACAGAGAUAGGGUUUUUUAAUGCAUCCAGGAACCAGUUGUGGGACCAAACUGAGCUGGUCUCCUGACAAUAAUUCAGUUGCUGACUGGUGGCUCCAUGAGGAGACAAGGCCCGGCUUUGUUUAGGUCCAUUAAUGGCUCCCUGCUGCAAACAUGUCCAUGAAAAGUACAAUGCAAGCACAACUGCUGAGCUAGAUUCCACUCCACCAAUGAUACUGGCCUUGAUGCUCUGUAGCUGUAGAGGUCAUGCAGGAGACGGUCACGGCAAUCAAGCUGAGAAGCCACUGAGGCAUAGACAAUGGCCACGAAGACAGAAAACACAGGACAGACUGUGGUGCUAUUGUACAAGAAGAAACAACAGGAUUCAGCAAGAGCUUGGAUGAGAAUGGAGGGGGAAGGGGAGCUAGAGAGUAAUUGCUUUUUCCUGAUACAUCUUCCUGCUGCAUAUGGGCACCUGCAACCUUAUUUAAGGCCCGAGCGAGAGAGUUAUUAAUAGGAACAGUGCAAGAAAUGAUGGCAGCUGACCUGCUUUAUUCAGCUGGAUUAAGCAUGGGAUUACUGGAGGAGUGUUUAGAAAUGUUUACGAGGCUCUGUUGCUUUUUCAUGUUGUUGUCUGUUGUUCCUUCCAAAGAGGAGAGUUUUGUGCAGGAUUAUUCAGCCUCAGAAUAAUACCAGCUGCAAUGUGAUCAGUGCAGAAUUUGGAACAAGUGCACUAGAAAUCAACAGGUCCUAGUAUUCCCCAUUUAGAAACUGAUCAGCCCGUUUUUACCCUGGUGCUAAAAGAGGUGCUUGUUGGUUUAAAUACAAAUAAUUGUUACAAUAAAAAUCUUUGAGAGAA